rnacentral:rRNA from 1 species
GACGAACGCUGGCGGCGUGCCUAAUACAUGCCAGUAGAACGCUGAAGGAGGAGCUUGCUUCUCUGGAUGAGUUGCGAACGGGUGAGUAACGCGUAGGUAACCUGCCUGGUAGCGGGGGAUAACUAUUGGAAACGAUAGCUAAUACCGCAUAAGAGUAGAUGUUGCAUGACAUUUGCUUAAAAGGUGCAAUUGCAUCACUACCAGAUGGACCUGCGUUGUAUUAGCUAGUUGGUGGGGUAACGGCUUACCAAGGCGACGAUACAUAGCCGACCUGAGAGGGUGAUCGGCCACACUGGGACUGAGACACGGCCCAGACUCCUACGGGAGGCAGCAGUAGGGAAUCUUCGGCAAUGGACGGAAGUCUGACCGAGCAACGCCGCGUGAGUGAAGAAGGUUGUCGGAUCGUAAAGCUCUGUUGUAAGAGAAGAACGAGUGUGAGAGUGGAAAGUUCACACUGUGACGGUAUCUUACCAGAAAGGGACGGCUAACUACGUG